CCUACGGGAGGCAGCAGUGGGGAAUAUUGCACAAUGGGGGAAACCCUGAUGCAGCGACGCCGCGUGAGUGAAGAAGUAUUUCGGUACGUAAAGCUCUAUCAGCAGGGAAGAAAAUGACGGUACCUGACUAAGAAGCCCCGGCUAACUACGUGCCAGCAGCCGCGGUAAUACGUAGGGGGCAAGCGUUAUCCGGAUUUACUGGGUGUAAAGGGAGCGUAGACGGCAGCGCAAGUCUGGAGUGAAAUCCCAUGGCUUAACCAUGGAACUGCUUUGGAAACUGUGCAGCUAGAGUGCAGGAGAGGUAAGCGGAAUUCCGAGUGUAGCGGUGAAAUGCGUAGAUAUUAGGAGGAACACCAGUGGCGAAGGCGGCUUACUGGACUGUAACUGACGUUGAGGCUCGAAAGCGUGGGGAGCAAACAGGAUUAGAUACCCUAGUAGUC
rnacentral:rRNA from 1 species